rnacentral:rRNA from 1 species
CUUAAGUGGGGAAUAACGCAUCGAAAGGUGUGCUAAUACCGCAUAAUCUCUGAGGAGAAAAGCAGGGGAUCGCAAGACCUUGCGCUUUUGGAGCGGCCGAUGCCUGAUUAGCUUGUUGGUGAGGUAAAAGCUCACCAAGGCUUCGAUCAGUAGCUGGUCUGAGAGGACGACCAGCCACACUGGGACUGAGACACGGCCCAGACUCCUACGGGAGGCAGCAGUGGGGAAUUUUGGACAAUGGGGGCAACCCUGAUCCAGCCAUGCCGCGUGAGUGAAGAAGGCCUUCGGGUUGUAAAGCUCUUUCAGCCGGAACGAAACGGUUACGGUUAAUACCCGUGACUACUGACGGUACCGGAAGAAGAAGCACCGGCUAACUACGUGCCAGCAGCCGCGGUAAUACGUAGGGUGCGAGCGUUAAUCGGAAUUACUGGGCGUAAAGCGUGCGCAGGUGGUUUUGCAAGUCAGAUGUGAAAUCCCCGGGCUUAACCUGGGAACUGCGUUUGAAACUGCAAGGCUAGAGUGUGGCAGAGGGGGGUGGAAUUCCGCGUGUAGCAGUGAAAUGCGUAGAGAUGUGGAGGAACACCGAUGGCGAAGGCAGCCCCCUGGGUCAACACUGACGCUCAGGCACGAAAGCAUGGGGAGCAAACAGGAUUAGAUACCCUGGUAGUCCAUGCCCUAAACGAUGUCAACUAGUUGUCGGGUCUUAACGGGCUUGGUAACGUAGCUAACGCGUGAAGUUGACCGCCUGGGGAGUACGAUCGCAAGAUUAAAACUCAAAGGAAUUGACGGGGACCCGCACAAGCGGUGGAUUAUGUGGAUUAAUUCGAUGCAACGCGAAAAACCUUACCUACCCUUGACAUGUAUUGAAACCCGCAGAGAUGUGGGUGUGCCCGAAAGGGAACGAUAACACAGGUGCUGCAUGGCUGUCGUCAGCUCGUGUCGUGAGAUGUAGGGUUAAGUCCCGCAACGAGCGCAACCCUUGUCAUUAAUUGCCAUCAUUUAGUUGGGCACUUUAAUGAGACUGCCGGUGACAAACCGGAGGAAGGUGGGGAUGACGUCAAGUCCUCAUGGCCCUUAUGGGUAGGGCUUCACACGUAA